rnacentral:rRNA from 1 species
AGCAAAUGUGUUUGUUAAGCUACUAAGGGUGUACGGUGGAUGCCUUGGCAUCAGGAGGCGAUGAAGGGCGUAGCUAGCUGCGAUAAGCCCCGGGGAGCCGCAAGCAGGCCGUGAUCCGGGGAUGCCCGAAUGGGGAAACCCAGGCGAUGAAUGCCGCCUAUCCUCCACUGAAUACAUAGGUGGAGCGAAGCCUACGCAGGGAAGUGAAACAUCUCAGUACCUGUAGGAAAAUAAAGCAAACCGCGAUUCCCCCAGUAGUGGCGAGCGAAAAGGGAAUAGCCCAAACCUCAUCGAUGUCAAGCUCGUGUGCGUUGUCGAUGGGGGGUUGAAGGCCUUUGCUGGACGGCGAUACGACGUUGUCGGCAAGUCAUAAACCAGGAUCAUAGCAGAACGACAUGGAAAGGUCGGCCAUAGCGGGUGACAGCCCCGUAUGCGAAAUGACCCUGGCUUGCUGGGCGAAGGUCCUGAGUACCACGGGGCCCGAGAAACCUUGUGGGAAUCUGGGAGGACCACCUUCCAAGGCUCAAUACUACCUGAUGACCGAUAGUGAACCAGUACCGUGAGGGAAAGGUGAAAAGAACCCCGGUGAGGGGAGUGAAAUAGAACCUGAAACCGUACACUUACAAGCAGCGAGAGGGCUAUGGCCCGCAAGGGCAAUGCCUGAUCGUGUGCCUUUUGCUUAAUGAGCCUGCGAGUUAUUCUGUGCAGCAAGGUUAAGCCGGAAAGGCGGAGCCGCAGCGAAAGCGAGUCCGAAAUGGGCGUUUAGUUGCAUAGAAUAGACCCGAAGCGAAGUGAUCUACCCAUGGCCAGGGUGAAUCCGCUGUAACAGGCGGAGGAGGCCCGAACUGAUGUUAGUUGCAAAUGGCUCGGAUGAGCUGUGGGUAGGGGUGAAAGGCCAAUCAAACUUCGUUAUUGCUGGUUCUCCCCGAAAUAACUAGAGGGUUAGCCUCGUGUUUGUCGUGGCGGAGGUAGAGCACUGGAUGGGCUAGGGGCGUUCCAACGCUACCGAACCCAACCAAACUCCGAAUGCCGCUACUGAUCGCACGGGAGUUAGACUACGAGUGCUAAGAUCCGUGGUCAAAAGGGAAAUAGCCCAGACCGCCAGCUAAGGUCCCGAAUCGUAAACUAAGUGGAAAAGGUUGUGGGGUCGCUCAGACAGCCAGGAGGUUGGCUUAGAAGCAGCCAUCCUUUAAAGAGUGCGUAACAGCUCACUGGUCGAGCGAGCCUGCGCCGAAAAUAUAACGGGGCUCAAGUUUACAACCGAAGCUGCGGACUUACCCGCAAGGGCUAAGUGGUAGGGGAGCAUUCUCUAGGCGGUGAAGGCGGAUCGACAAGAACCGCUGGAGCGUAGAGAAGAGAUUAUGCAGGCAUAAGUAGCGAUUAACAAUGUGAGAAUCAUUGUCCCCGUAAGCCUAAGGUUUCCUGGCCUAUGUUCGUCAGGUCAGGGUUAGCCGGAACCUAAGCCGAGGCCGAAAGGCGUAGGCGAUGGAAAACAGGUCAAUAUUCCUGUGCCAGCACGUGUGCGUUAUCAGCGAAGGGGGGACGCAGGAGGGUAGGCACCGCCGGGUCCCUGGAAUACCCGGUCCAAGCCCGUAGGCGGGUCGCGCAGGCAAAUCCGCGCGGCCGUUACCGCCGAGAAGUGAUGGGGAGGCCGCAAGGCCACAAACGGGCCGAUCCCACACUGCCGAGAAAAGCCUCGUAGCGAGUGCACGUGCUGUCCGUACCGCAAACCGACACAGGUAGGUGGGUGUAAUACACCAAGGGGCGUGAGAGAACUCUCCCUAAGGAACUCUGCCAUCUAACCCCGUAACUUCGGAAGAAGGGGUGCCUUGCGUAAGUGAAGCCGUACAGGCCGAGCUGAACAAGGUUGCAAUAAAGUGGCUCUAGCGACUGUUUACCAAAAACACAGGACUCUGCGAACACGCAAGUGGACGUAUAGGGUCUGACGCCUGCCCGGUGCUGGAAGGUUAAAUAGAGGGGUUAGCCGCAAGGCGACGCUCUGAAAUGAAGCCCCAGUAAACGGCGGCCGUAACUAUGGAACCGGACCACUGUAGUUCCGAGAACAAAUCUGGCUAUAUGCUGGAACACCCGGUGCAUCCUCCGGUACUCGCCGCGAAAUUGGCGGCAGUGACAAUCCGAGAGGUGCGGGCAAUCAGCAGGAAAGGCUGGAACCCAUGCUCAAAGUCCAGGACAUUCCCUCGGACAUCGGCCAUUAUAUGGCUGGAUUCACCGAUGGGGAAGGAAGCUUCAACGUGUCGUUCCGACCGCGGGACGAUUACAAGUUUCCAUGGAAGGUGUCUCUCUGCUUCAAUAUUUCCCAGCGUGAUUCCGUGAUCCUGGCGCUGUGUAAGCGCCAUCUCGGAUGCGGGACCAUGCGGCAGAGACACGAUGGAGUUUGGUACUAUGAGGUGAAUAAUCUCACUGCCAUCGUGGAAAACGUCAUCCCAUUCUUUGAGCGCUUUGGAUUUCUGUCCGCGAAGAAGAAGCGCGAUUUCUCCAAAUUCAAGCAACUGGCCGAAUGCAUGCGGCAGAGCAAGCACCUGACGCAGGAAGGAGUCGAAGAGAUCCUUCGGAUUCGGCUGGACAUGAACGACGGUGGGAAGCGCCGAUACAGCGACGCGGAAAUCCUCAGCCGGUUUCAGAAUCCUCAGAGACUAUAUGCCGGACCCGCAGAACCAUCAGCGGGAUGAGAUAGUCCGAUCUGCCUGGCGACAGGUAGAGCGCAUCAGAAAUGAGUGCGCCGCUCACGCAAGUGGGUUGCAACACAAUGAACGGUCCUAAGGUAGCGAAAUUCCUUGUCGGGUAAGUUCCGACCUGCAUGAAUGGCGUAACGACUGGAGUGCUGUCUCGGGGAGAGACUCAGCGAAUUUGUUGUUCCGGUGAAGAAGCCGGGUGCCCGCAACUAGACGGAAAGACCCUGUGCACCUUCACUACAACUUGACAUUGGAUGUUGGACGAGUAUGUGUAGCAUAGGUGGGAGACUGCGAAGCGGGGCCGCUAGGUCCCGUGGAGUCGCCAGUGAAAUACCACUCUUAGUUUUCCGACAUUCUAACUCGGCCCGGUCAUCCCGGGCGAAGACAGUGUCUGGUGGGUAGUUUGACUGGGGCGGUCGCCUCCCAAAAGGUAACGGAGGCGCUCAAAGGUUCCCUCAGGCUGGUCGGUAAUCAGCCGUCGAGUGCAAAGGCAGAAGGGAGCUUGACUGCGAGAGCGACAGCUCGAGCAGGGACGAAAGUCGGACUUAGUGAUCCGGUGGUUCUGAGUGGAAGGGCCAUCGCUCAACGGAUAAAAGGUACGCCGGGGAUAACAGGCUGAUCUCCCCCAAGAGUUCACAUCGACGGGGAGGUUUGGCACCUCGAUG